AGAAUCAACUAACUGAAACCUUCGGAGAGGACAGAUAAUUAACUCUGGAAAUACCGAGCAAUUGCGGCCUGUCUCUGCGAAGGAAUAGGAUGGAGCCUGUUCCCUUCUCUUCUGGCUUGAUGAUUUAUUCAGAACCCCAGAACCAUCCAAUGGAACCUUUGAACUACUAUGUACAGAAUUGUACUGUAUUGAUGGAUGUGCAUCUCUAAAAAAUUCCUCCCGCGAGGAGAACUCUUCAAUAUCAUCAUCACCAUUAUCACACAAAACCGAGUCCUUUUCUUUCUUCUUCAAUCUCGAUUCCCGGAUUGCGGUUCCUCGUCUCAGCCGCUUGAAUGGCCGGGUAACUCUGGGCCGGAUUCGGGGUCCGAAUUCAUAACCUGAAAUCCAAAAUCAUUUUCUUUCAGAAUUGAUGACUCGGGGUUGGAAAUUUUCAUCAUGGUCGUCCUCCGAGAGGGUAAGGGAGCUCGGACCCGGAUCCAAAUUGAGGACGGAGUGUUGAUGGUGGGGAGAAGGUAUUUGGGGUUACGGGUCGGCAUCAAGAUCCAGCCCGAGAGAGAAGGAUGGAGGUUCAAUAUCGGCCAUUGGAGAGAGA
rnacentral:misc_RNA from 1 species